GCCUAGUGAUGACGCAAUGAUGAGGGCGACCCGGAACAAUCGAGGGAGGCGAGGCUCCCGCGGCAAAGGAAGGGAGCGAGAGAGAGGGAUAAUGCGGGGAAAACGCCGGAUGAGGUGACAGUGUGGAUGGACGAGGGAAAUCAUCUUGCCUGCAGAUGCAUGAGAGCCUCAACUACCCCAUGACUUACAUGUUCAGGCAUAAAAGCACUUGCCUCAUGGCAGAACUUGGUCAUGUUGCCACAAUUAGAUGGAAGGGAUGCUGGAGAAUGUAGUCUUUUCAGACUUGGAAAAUGGCAAGCAGAUGGUCAAGCAGAGACUUAAUAAAAGAGAAGAAGGUGAAACAAAGAACCUGCAGUCAGAAAAGUCAAAAUACAAGUCAAGAACAGCUGUGGACUUGAAGGCACCUGUCACUUUGAAUGUGGCCUGGACAAGAACUAAAAUCUGUUGAAAGUUCUUAUAAGGAACCACCAGCUCUCCAGAUGCCAGCUCUGACGUUGCAUCACCCGGCUCUAAAUCUGUCCCUUCCCAUGAUAUGCUAGGUAGAUUCACUAAAAAAAUUGAAACAGACCUCUACUGUGCCCAGGUUAUUUCAGGGAAGUAAGACAAAAGGUAAAGUAGGAGGUUAAGUCAGAAUUGUAUUGAAUUAU